rnacentral:sRNA from 1 species
UAGAAGUGGACGCCUGCGGUUGAGAAGGA